AUGAAGCUGGCCGGGCACGGUCUCCUCCUGGUCCUCCUGGUACUGCUGCAGGGUGGCGUGGCGCAGUCAAGGGAGUGGUACGUCGGCGACCAGAAGGGCUGGACCUUCGGUGUGGAGGGCUGGCCUAACUCGCCUACCUUCAAGCCCUUCAGGGAAGGCGACGUGCUGGUUUUCAAGUACGACCGUGCGGCGCAGAACGUGAUACAGGUGGACGACUUCGGGUUCGGCACCUGCACCAGGCACCCCGCCAACGCCACGGUGUACGACUCCGGCAACGACCGCAUCAGGCUCUCUCGCGGCCUGAUCAACUUUAUCAACGGCGUCUCGGAUAACUGCUACAAGGGCGGCGUCAAGAUCUCACUCACCGUCAGGCCGUGA
rnacentral:rRNA from 1 species